rnacentral:rRNA from 1 species
AUCCUACGGGAGGCAGCAGUGGGGAAUUUUGGACAAUGGGGGAAACCCUGAUCCAGCAAUGCCGCGUGAGUGAAGAAGGCCUUCGGGUUGUAAAGCUCUUUUGUCAGGGAAGAAACACCGGCUCUAACACAGUCCGGGAAUGACGGUACCUGAAGAAUAAGCACCGGCUAACUACGUGCCAGCAGCCGCGGUAAUAC